rnacentral:rRNA from 1 species
AUACGGAGGGUGCAAGCGUUACUCGGAAUCACUGGGCGUAAAGCGCGCGCAGGCGGUCUUUUAAGUUGGAUGUGAAAGCCUACGGCUCAACCGUAGAACUGCAUCCAAAACUAUUAGACUAGAGUGUGGGAGAGGAAGAUGGAAUUAGUUGUGUAGGGGUAAAAUCCGUAGAGAUAACUAGGAAUACCAAAAGCGAAGGCAAUCUUCUGGAACACUACUGACGCUGGGGCGCGAAAGCGUGGGGAGCAAACAGGAUUAGAAGCCCUAGUAGUCC